GGGAGGUCUCUAAAGUUGAAGUAACCUUGUCAUCAGAUGAGGCGUCGAAAAAGUCGCGGGUUUUGGUAGGAAU
ensembl:ncRNA ZK669.9 ncRNA